GCAGAAGCCAGACUUCUCGGGCUCGGCCUCCAUCAGGGGGUACGAGUGGUUGGGGCGGGAGAAGCCGGUCUUGAUGCCGUCCCAGCCCUCCUCCACUCUGAACUCCCCGGACUGAAUCUGUUGAUAAAAGCAAAUCAAAGGCCUUAUGGUGUGAGCUGUUGAGGUCAGGGAUGUGACUGGGCCAUUCCUACAGGUGGAAGCUCAGUAUCAUCACAUCAGAGGAGAGAGAAGACAGUGUUCCCCUUGUGCAGCGAGUGAUGGACACACUCUCGAACACUCUGUGGGACUGUGUACGAGUGUGUGGCCUAAGGAGUUCAGAGUCCAGUCCAGCCUUCAUCCAAUCUUGGUGACCCUGCCAUUCAAUGUAUUAAUAUACUCCUACACAAUGUGUCCACCCCAGACUGUUUGACACAGGACAUGAACACUGUAAAUGGUGUAUCUGUACAGAGUGAGAACUGUGGGGGAUUGGGUGCUCAGACUGGACCCAUGCCAUAAAGUCUUUUUCACAUGUAGGUGAAGUCGGUGAAUAAAAGUUUUGAAGUUGAA